GCUUUUGGCAGGGCUGGGGGCAUGGGCUGGGGUGGGUACGAAAUGGGAGUGGGCUCCUGGCCCUGCCAACAGCCCCCAGCACCCACCGUGCCCCGGGCUGGGGCUGGGGCUGGGGCAGCCAGCCCGACACAAACCAACCCCCAUGGUGGGAGCAGAGGUGGGACUCCAGAACCUGUGCAGGGGCUGCUUUGCUUUGCAGGCAAGGAAGGGCUUGGGCUGCUCCACUGCCCUUGUUUGCUUUGGGAUCAGCGUUAUUUUGGGGGGCAGUGCAGGGGGAAGGGAGAAAGGCUGGGCUUCCCUCACCCAUGGGUGGGGUUUUCCCUGGCAUGCAGGGGUUGGGCCUUCCUCAAGCCCCUGACAGAGAUAAGAUUUCUGACCUUUUUUCUUGUUUCCCUUUUUUGUCUGUAAUCUAUUUUCAAUCAUUUGUUGUGUGUUUUUCUAGAGGAAGCGUUCUAGGUGGGGUCCAGUCUGGAUGGGGAAGUGCUUGGGAGCAGCUGCGGCGUGGAUGGGCCGUGCCCUUGGAGAAGGCUGAGGACAUCGUUUGGGACCAGCUUUUCUUCCAGCGGUGGAUGGCGUCAGCCGGGCUCUGCGGGUGCUGAGGCUGCUCUGGGCUCUGCCAGGGCUCUGCUGGAGCUCAGCACCGGGCCAGAAUCAGCCAAAGAAGAAAUGGUGUGACCUGCAGCACAGCCUUGCUUGAGCAUUUCAGCAACACAGCUCAAGUUUGCAGAGUGUACACCUCCAAGGGAAAAGAUGCCACCACCCAAAAAAUUAAACUUGUUCAAAAGCUUCUGAAACGAAA